rnacentral:rRNA from 1 species
UGGCGGCACUAGCGCGGUGGUCCCACCUGACCCCAUGCCGAACUCAGAAGUGAAACGCCGUAGCGCCGAUGGUAGUGUGGGGGUCUCCCCAUGUGAGAGUAGGGAACUGCCAGGCA